UCUAGUGCCUAGUGGACAUGGCAUCUGCCCAGUAAGCGGAACACUGUGGGUUCGAUUCCCAUCUCACAGAG